CUAUUUCUGUGCAAGGCCGUACAUUUGUUGCCUUCACUGAAGAAGUUCCGUUAGAAAUAAUCAAAACAAACUCAAAAUACAUAACUUUGAUGGCAUAGGCAACUAUUUAUUUAGCUACAAGCCCAGUAUAUAAACAUAGACUUUUUUAUUUUUGUCGUAUGGGAGGAACCACCGUGCACCGCUGGAAUCUAGUACUACAGAUAACCAUAUUCCGGGCCACAGCGAGUCGAUCAGCUUCAACCCAUUUGGGAAUGUUUCAUCAUGGAAGCUGAAUAUACCGAACGUUGUGGCAAAGAUACCUUCUUUACUCACCCCGGCGCUAAAAUCGCCAAGCACGAUUGCCGCAGGACAGAUAUUGGAUAUGUCGGGGUCUAUUCUAUAUAAGUAUUAGUUUAAUCUACUACAGUAUCCAGAACGAAGCUGCGCAAGGGUCACUCUCGUCUCUCGCGGCAACUCGAGCUCUCCGUCUGCAAUGGGUUUUGGUUUGACUCCAAGUCCAUCGCAUUUCGUAGACAGUGGUGAUGUCAGCCUUUACUUUAACGAGGACAUCAGCCAGCUGGCCAGCGGCACCUUCUCAAUUAAGAUACCGCAUAUUUCAGGUGCAUGACCUUAAUUCGCAAUCUUUAACGCGUUUGCUGUGGUCGUCAUCAAAAGGGGAGUUUCUCUUCCGAGGCUGUUGUUUCAUUUGUUCGCCUUCUCACUUAAGCUCGCCUUCAAACGGAUGUUUUAGGCUACCCAGAAGAUACUUGGUCUAAGACCGAAAUUCAUGAGCUGCUUAUGCCAUUCAAAAAAAAAUCGUUUCUGGCCACUCCCAAGUGAAUGGCAAUCAGAAGACUUUCCUCACUUACGUGAACUUCUACACAUGACUCUAUCCUUCAUUAUCCUGUACUUAAACUAAUUGUGCAAUUAAACGAAUAUAGAUUAAUUGAUUCCCCGGUUAAUUGCACUAAAAUUAGGCAAUUUCUGAAGAAAAAUUAUCCGGGGGAUAUUGAAUAUACAUUUAUUAUUGCUUAAACUUACAUACGGUGUAUAGAAAAUUUGUAAAAGUGUUUAUGUACAUAUAUAUUUUGUAAAAGUAUAAAUCAAAAUAUUUUAAUUAUUAAGUCUAAAUACACGCACAUUAUGAAUAUGUAUGCUAAUAUAGCGGAAAGCUAAACAAACAAACUAAACUAAAAUAAGUAAUUGUAAUAUUAUACUCAUGGAGUUUUUUUUAUGAGUUCUUUUUGUAAAGGGUGUCCCAAAAUUUACGCUAAAUUUAAAUUUGCGCCAUUUAUAUAGUAAAGUGUUGAUAACCCUUAAAAAAUAUAUCAAUAACUGAUAGUUUAGUAAAAUGGAGCAUUACACUUAAAACGAGUCUUCAAAAACAAGUUUAAGUUCGCGGAGUCUAACGAAGUUGCUACCUAGCGCUUUUCUCACGUUAACCAGAUUAACCCCUGCAGAGGCUAAUGAACGGCAGAAAAGGAUGGAGUCUCGUUUAAACCACUGUUUUUUAUCCUAAUUGCAAUAUUUUUCAACGUGUGUCAGUUGAUCUAACUUCCGCUGAUCCAAUUGAAAAAAAUGAUGACUUGAAGAUUCUCAACAACGACGGGCCUGAAAAUUUGGCAGGGUAGAUCUGCCACAAACUUAUUGAAAACAACCCCGAAAUUUGUGCCAAUUCAGAAAAUUGUUCGUCUUAUACUUGGGUGGAUCACCUAUAUGAAGGAGGACUCUCAUAACCAAUAGAUAUGAAGAUGGAGCAUAUGAGAGGCUUGCAAGCAGUAUUUGACGACUUAAAUGGUACUGAUUUGCAUAUGUAUAUGUACAAAUUACGUCCAGAAGCACUUAGAAUUAAGUAAUUUUGUAAAUUGUAG